GGAACGAACGCUGGCGGCAUGCCUAAUACAUGCAAGUCGAACGAACUCUUCGGAGUUAGUGGCGCACGGGUGCGUAACGCGUGGGAAUCUGCCCCUUGGUUCGGAAUAACAGUUGGAAACGACUGCUAAUACCGGAUGAUGACGAAAGUCCAAAGAUUUAUCGCCAAGGGAUGAGCCCGCGUAGGAUUAGCUAGUUGGUGAGGUAAAGGCUCACCAAGGCAACGAUCCUUAGCUGGUCUGAAGAGGAUGAUCAGCCACACUGGGACUGAGA
rnacentral:rRNA from 1 species